GCCCUCGUAGCAUAAUGGAUAGUGCAGGACUCUUCUAAGGUUCUGAUGUUGGUUCGAUUCCAACCGAGGGCA
rnacentral:tRNA from 1 species